CUGUUUAAUGAGUGCUACCUGCCCAGUAUUUAUGCAGGUCUCCCACCUGGUGGACACUCCCCUAGGCGACCAAAUGGGAGACUGUGACAAAGGACAGACAAGUAGACAAUUAGGACACACAGUCACAUUAUAUUCCCACAAUGCAUCCUGGCUUCCUCCCCUCUGCCUUCGAGAUAAUUGAGAAGUAAUUCAAUUAUCUCCCAAGACAAAGGCAAAUCGCCAUUAUGCACGUGGGGAUACUAACACACGAAUUACUAUUAAAAUACACUAUGUGAG